AGCUCCAAUAGCGUAUAUUAAAGUUGCUGCAGUUAAAAAGCUCGUAGUUGCAUUUCCGAGGCAAGGGAUUAGUCCGACCUUUGGUGGGUAUUUAAUCCUCUUGCCUCGUCCUUGAGUGGUGCUUCUUGGUAUUAAGUUAUCGAGGAGAUAGCCGCUCAUCGUUUACUGUGAGAAAAUUAGAGUGUUCAAAGCAGGCUUAUGCCGUUGAAUAUAUUAGCAUGGAAUAAUAAGAUAGGACCUCGGUACUAUUUGGUUGGGUUGAGAACCAAGGUAAUGAUGAAUAGGGACAGUUGGGGGUAUUCGUAUUCAGUUGUCAGAGGUGAAAUUCUUAGAUUUACGGAAGACGAACUACUGCGAAAGCAUUUACCAAGGAUGUUUUCA
rnacentral:rRNA from 1 species